rnacentral:lncRNA from 12 species
CCUUUGUGCUUUCAAAUGGGAGUUAAUCAAGAACAGUUGAGGCAAGUUAUUUUACACGAGCUGCCUCCAGGAGCUGGCCUUCAUCUGCUGAGACUUUCAGCCCAAGUACGACUACAGACGAAUUAUAAAUGUCAUAAAUGUUCCAAGAAUACAGAAUCAGGAGCCUUUUCCGCCCUGAAAUGGAG